CGACAGAGAUGGGACGUCGUUAGCAGCGGCGACGGCGACAGUGCCUAGGUAGCCGUUUACUGGACUGCUCAAGGUAAAGGAAUGUGGGGUUAAAUAAGUCAUCGGGAGAGGAACAGAAACGACUCACCGGAAAACGUUAAGCAGCAACAAUAUGUAAUCUUCAGAUAUAUUCUUCCAGUGCCAGCCCAUUGCGGUGGCCAACUGUUUGACAUGUUAGCGCCCAAUCUACUAGUGAAAUCACCUGCAUCAGUGGAGCAAUGCGGAAUAAAAUCUCUCUGUGAGACUGUUCAGUAAAGCAUUCUGAGAUAUGCCGUCGAACCAAAAAAAGAUCAAGUUUGGAAGGUACCAUUUGCAGAACAGUCUUCUUCCAGAACAGCCAUCUCCCAGCAAGGAAUAAGUCACUUGUAGCCUUGGGCUGGACAGAUAAAGAGAUUAAAUAAUCACAGCACCAGGCAUUUUCUUGGUGUAAGAGGCUUUCUUCAUACUGUGCAGGUCUGGAUAUUUCCAGGGAGAACACCCAUUCCAAAGAUGCAUCUGCCCCGUGCAUACUCUCAUAGAGGAAACUGCCAAAAUUUGACAGCUAAGGAAAAUGAGAAAAAAGAUGCCAUUGAGUCAGUCCAGACCGCUGACUAAACAAAAAGCUACAACUCACACUUCAAAGUCCUUCAAAGCAAAGACACCAGAAUUAGUAACUUUUUUUCUUCCUCUCCUGUGACCUUGGAUUUACUUAUGUGAGUUGUUGUUGCACUAAUGCAAGAUCAGCUGAAGAUCAGUCUCCAAAAAUACCUUGUGUGUAUAGUAAAUGCCAUCACAUUAAGUGACUUUCCUGGGUGUUCAGAGAAGGGGAAAAAAACACUUCUAUGGAACAUCCACGCAUACAUAACAAGCCCCAGACCCUGGGGCCACCUGCCUGUCCACCAGAGGCUUUGAAAUAACAAACUCACCCAAGUGGGAUAUGAGUGGCCUGGCCUGGUCAGCAGUCGUAGCCAAGAGGGCAAAGGUCUGGGAGGAAGAAGCGGGACUGGGAAUAAUGAGGCAUAACCAGCGUGAAGCAGCAAGCCUAAGAAGCUUUUGGUACGUCCCAUCGCCAAAUUUUUAGGACGCAGACUGCCAUGACAGACCUAUGAGGUGUUACAGUGAAGUUGACCAGAUAAGUCCAGGAAUGGUGGGCUUAACUGGUAGGAAGUUGCAGAUCUCAUUAGAGGAAAUAGAUCAGUGACAGAAAGAAUCCUGUUUAAAAGGGGUAGGAGAGGGAGACAGAACAAUUCUCUGCCUGUGUAUGGAUAUGCAAUGAUCAAUAUUGCAAAUGUUGGUUUUUAAAAAAACACACAAACCAUUGAUGGCAGCAGCACUGAUGGUAUUUUUCAAGUGCUGUAUUGCUUUUGGUUCAGUGACAAGAGCCACCAUCCUGGCAAGCAGGGGACUGGGUUCUGUUGCUGUGCCAUAAAUGGUGAAGCGUUUAGCCUGAAGAACCACUUAGGGCUUUUCACCAGGAAGACAGGCCCAGCAAAAAUCCUGAAAGAGAGAUAUGGCAAACAUGGGGUAGUAGAGAGCUCCACAGCUACAAAAGCCAGUGCCCAAUGGAUCUCGGCACUAAGUUGAGGGCAAUUCAGCUGUAAAUGGGUCUUCCACAUGCAUUUAUAAUAAUAAUGAUGAUGAGGAUGUUAUUUAUUAAAUGCCAUCCAUUCAUCCAUGUGUUCCCUGCAAAGUGCUAAACGCUGAGGGAGUUACAAGGCAAUCAGAUCUGACACAGGCCCUUUCCCAUUUGGGGUUCACUGCCUUAAAUGGGGAGAAGGGGUAUUUUAUCCUCAUUUCACAGAUACAGAAAAUAGGCCCAAAGAAGUUGUGACUUGCCCAGGGUCACACGGCUGGCUAAAUGGUAGAGCUGCAGCUUGAACCCGAGUCCCCUAACUCCCAGACAUACUCUCUUCCCUAGGUCACACUGCCUCCCUAUUGUACACACCACAGUGUCCCGCAGGUCUGCGCAACUAUUCAGUGCAUUUUUGUGAGACGGGAACCUAACUACCAGGAAAGAGAGUGUGAAUGGUGUUAAGCAAAUCACUACCCCUGUAAUCAGUUCCUUUUCCUAGGUUCAAUCAUUGUUCCUGACAGGUAAGUCCUAUCGUCAACUAGAAUAAAAGAAGUCCUGCCAGCAAAAGAGCAAUAGCACCGACAGCUACCAGUGGUAGUGAGAAAGGUUAUAUGUUCAAGACCAGCGGCGCUUCCCUUGUGGAGUUCUAAUCGGCAGGCACAAUACAGCAUUAGCAUUUAAAUACCUAUUAUGAGUGGAACGAAUUCUGUGGCUUGAUAUUCACUGAUUUGAGAUAAUUGAUCAUUUUUAUCCAAAUCAAUAAAUGUAAAGAGUUUACAACA